UGGGAGGAAAAAGGCUGUGAAUUUUCAGACAUUGAUAAUUUUCGUCCCUGUCUCAUCAUGUUGAGAAGAGGAAGAUGUAUGAGUCAGUCUCAGAAGAGCUGUGGGGUCCAAACGGAUGAAAAGAGAGGAGGAAGAGCCAAAGGAGCGUGUUAUCUGGAUGGCAGUGCAGUGAUCCUUUAGAAAUGGCAUUCCACGAGCUUCGAGUCAGUAUCUGCACACAAGGGCCAAACUUCCCUGUGCUACUCACAUCCUCCUUGCAGGUGGCCCCUGCACCCACGCAGCCGAACAGCUGAAAUUGGGUGAUAGAAAGUAUGAAAUCCCACCUGGGAACAAAGCACGGAAUUAAUACAACUAUGAAAAUGGAAAGCAGUCAAGCCAGACCUGUCCCUUUCUUGGGAGAAUCGCCCCAGGACAAGUAUAGGCUGCCUAUCUGGAAGGUAAUGUCUCUCCUCAUGUCCUACUUGUUAGCACACAGCCAAGAACUAAUGGACAUGAGGGACAGAAGCCUGAUCUCCUUGCCCCUAGGGGUGGGAGUUGAGGGGACACUGGCUCUGUGGUGCAUUUUGUGUUCCAGAGCUCUCCGUAGGAUCAGGCUGAAGCCAGACUCCUGCUGAGGUCACAUAUGUGCUUGGCUCUUUUCUCUGCCCCCUCCUGCUUGUCUCAUUCCCCAUCGGAAUGCCCUCCCCCAAUAAAUCACAUGUACGAGAAUCCUUGUCCCAGGCUCUGCUUCUAGGGAACCUACUCUCAGACAGUGGCUCUAAACCUAGAAGGUUUAUUUUGGAAGAACUAGAAUUCAGGCUAGCAUCCUGGAUACUUUCUUGGACCCUUGGGAAUGUUGGAGAAAAGAUUGUGGGUGGUGAGAGAUUUUAAAGGAAAAGGGGAGUGAAACAGGGUGAAUGCUGAAAAGUAAGAGAAGGUGGUGAAGAAAAAAUUCCUACUGAUUAAAACUUUGUGGUGUAGCAGAUCAGAUUCCUAAGAACAUGAAUAUGAAUGUCACUUUUCCAAUGAGUCCCCGAACUGGAAUAUGAGGUAUUUUGAGGAUUUUGUAACAAAUGCUUUUCUUGGAUUUGAAGUCCAUCUUUCCCAUGCUUCCUGAUUUGGUCUUAUUUUUAAACACGAGAAAGUUUUCCCUGACUUCCAGUCAGAUUCAGUAGGGCUUUCAGUUACUCCGUGAAGAUUUGUAUUCCCCCGUUAGCACCUGGUGUUGGUUAUUCUUCCACAACACAGAGUGCUGGCGCCACCAUAGAGCAUGGCGUCUAAAUAAUAAAGCAAUUUGCCACAACAGUUAAAGGGGGUUCUAGGAUUAGUCACUUCUUUUGUUUAGAACAGUCUGAGAGCUACCAUUUAACAAGGA